UUAAAUUAAAGAGUUUGAUCAUGGCUCAGAUUGAACGCUGGCGGCACGCCUAACACAUGCAAGUCGAACGGUAACAGGAAGCAGCUUGCUGCUUUGAUGACGAAAGGCGGACGGGUGAGAAAUGUCUGGGAAACUGCCUGAUGGAGGGGGAUAACUACUGGAAACGGUGGCUAAUACCGCAUAACGUCGCAAGACCAAAGAGGGGGACCUUCGGGCCUCUUGCCAUCAGAUGUGCCCAGAUGGGAUUAGCUUGUUGGUGAGGUAACGGCUCACGAAGGCGACGAUCCCUAGCUGGUCUGAGAGGAUGACCAGCCACACUGGAACUGAGACACGGUCCAGACUCCUACGGGAGGCAGCAGUGGGGAAUAU
rnacentral:rRNA from 1 species